rnacentral:rRNA from 1 species
AUUGAACGCUGGCGGCAGGCUUAACACAUGCAAGUCGAGCGGUGUGAUGGUGCUUGCACUAUCACUUAGCGGCGGACGGGUGAGUAAUGCUUAGGAAUCUGCCUAUUAGUGGGGGACAACAUCUCGAAAGGGAUGCUAAUACCGCAUACGUCCUACGGGAGAAAGCAGGGGAUCACUUGUGACCUUGCGCUAAUAGAUGAGCCUAAGUCGGAUUAGCUAGUUGGUGGGGUAAAGGCCUACCAAGGCGACGAUCUGUAGCGGGUCUGAGAGGAUGAUCCGCCACACUGGGACUGAGACACGGCCCAGACUCCUACGGGAGGCAGCAGUGGGGAAUAUUGGACAAGGGGGGGAACCCUGAUCCAGCCAUGCCGCGUGUGUGAAGAAGGCCUUAUGGUUGUAAAGCACUUUAAGCGAGGAGGAGGCUCUUUUGGUUAAUACCCAAGAUGAGUGGACGUUACUCGCAGAAUAAGCACCGGCUAACUCUGUGCCAGCCGCCGCAGUAA